rnacentral:tRNA from 1 species
GGUCUCGUAGUGUAUGUCACACGUCGAAUUGCAAAUUCGGAGAAGCAACUUCAAACUUGCCGAGGCUU